UCCUACGGGAGGCUGCAGUAAGGAAUAUUGGUCAAUGGACGAAAGUCUGAACCAGCCAUGCCGCGUGAAGGAUGAAGGUCCUCUGGAUUGUAAACUUCUUUUAUCUGGGACGAAAAAAGGCGAUUCUUCGUCACUUGACGGUACCAGAUGAAUAAGCACCGGCUAACUCCGUGCCAGCAGCCGCGGUAAUACGGAGGGUGCAAGCGUUAUCCGGAUUCACUGGGUUUAAAGGGUGUGUAGGCGGGCAUUUAAGUCAGUGGUGAAAUCUCUGAGCUCAACUCGGAAACUGCCAUUGAUACUAUUUGUCUUGAAUAUUGUUGAGGUAGGCGGAAUAUGUCAUGUAGCGGUGAAAUGCAUAGAUAUGUCAUAGAACACCGAUUGCGAAGGCAGCUUACUAAGCAAUUAUUGACGCUGAGGCACGAAAGCGUGGGGAUCAAACAGGAUUAGAUACCC
rnacentral:rRNA from 1 species